CCUACGGGAGACUGCAGUAGGGAAUCUUCCACAAUGGGCGAAAGCCUGAUGGAGCAACGCCGCGUGGGUGAAGAAGGUCUUCGGAUCGUAAAACCCUGUUGUUAGAGAAGAAAGUGCGUGAGAGUAACUGUUCACGUUUCGACGGUAUCUAACCAGAAAGCCACGGCUAACUACGUGCCAGCAGCCGCGGUAAUACGUAGGUGGCAAGCGUUAUCCGGAUUUAUUGGGCGUAAAGGGAACGCAGGCGGUCUUUUAAGUCUGAUGUGAAAGCCUUCGGCUUAACCGGAGUAGUGCAUUGGAAACUGGGAGACUGGAGUGCAGAAGAGGAGAGUGGAACUCCAUGUGUAGCGGUGAAAUGCGUAGAUAUAUGGAAGAACACCAGUGGCGAAAGCGGCUCUCUGGUCUGUAACUGACGCUGAGGUUCGAAAGCGUGGGUAGCAAACAGGAUUAGAUACCCUUGUAGUC
rnacentral:rRNA from 1 species